CAAGGGAUUUUCCCCAAUGGGCGCAAGCCUGAGGGAGCAACGCCGCGUGCAGGACGACGGCCUUCGGGUUGUAAACUGCUUUUGGGGGGAAGGAUGAUGACGGUACCCCCCGAAUAAGCCCCGGCUAACUCCGUGCCAGCAGCCGCGGUAAGACGGAGGGGGCAAGCGUUGUCCGGACUUACUGGGCGUAAAGGGCCCGUAGGCGGCCCGGUGCGUCGGUGCUGAAAGCGCCCCGCUUAACGGGGGCGAGGCGUGCCGAUACGACCGGGCUCGAGGCAGGCAGAGGGUGGCGGAAUUCCGGGUGUAGUGGUGAAAUGCGUAGAGAUCCGGAGGAACGCCUGUGGCGCAAGCGGCCACCUGGGCCUGACCUGACGCUGAGGGGCGAAAGCGUGGGGAGCGAACCGGAUUAGAUACCCGGGUAGUCCACGCGGUAACGAUGCCGGCUCGGUGUCUGGGUUCCGUUCAGGAACCUGGGUGCCUCAGCACACGCGGUAAGCCGGCCGCCUGGGGAGUACGAGCGCAAGCUUAAAACUC
rnacentral:rRNA from 1 species